AAGCCUGAUCCAGCCAUGCCGCGUGGGUGAAGAAGGCCUUCGGGUUGUGAAGCCCUUUUGUUGGGAAAGAAAAGCAGCCGGCCAAUACCCGGUUGUUCUGACGGUACCCAAAGAAUAAGCACCGGCUAACUCCGUGCCAGCAGCCGCGGUAAUACGGAGGGUGCAAGCGUUACUCGGAAUCACUGGGCGUAAAGAGCACGUAGGCGGCCUUGCAAGUCAGAUGUGAAAUCCAACGGCUUAACCGUUGAACUGCAUUUGAAACUGCAAGGCUAGAGUAUGGGAGAGGUAGGUGGAAUUCUCGGUGUAGGGGUAAAAUCCGUAGAGAUCGAGAGGAAUACUCAUUGCGAAGGCGACCUGCUGGAACAUUACUGACGCUGAGGUGCGAAAGCGUGGGGAGCAAACA
rnacentral:rRNA from 1 species